rnacentral:rRNA from 1 species
UUUCCACACUGGGACUGAGACACGGCCCAGACUCCUACGGGAGGCAGCAGUGGGGAAUUUUGGACAAUGGGCGAAAGCCUGAUCCAGCAAUGCCGCGUGUGUGAAGAAGGCCUUCGGGUUGUAAAGCACUUUUGUCCGGAAAGAAAUCCUUGGCUCUAAUACAGUCGGGGGAUGACGGUACCGGAAGAAUAAGCACCGGCUAACUACGUGCCAGCAGCCGCGGUAAUAC